rnacentral:siRNA from 1 species
UGUGGUGGAUUCUUGUGAUCGC